CAGUCGCCACGGUAAUACAGAGGGUGCGAGCGUUAUCCGGAAUUAUUGGGCGUAAAGAGCUCGUAGGCGGUUUGUCGCGUCUGCCGUGAAAGUCCGGGGCUCAACCCCGGAUCUGCGGUGGGUACGGGCAGACUAGAGUGAUGUAGGGGAGACUGGAAUUCCUGGUGUAGCGGUGAAAUGCGCAGAUAUCAGGAGGAACACCGAUGGCGAAGGCAGGUCUCUGGGCAUUAACUGACGCUGAGGAGCGAAAGCAUGGGGAGCGAACAGGAUUAGAUACCCGAGUAGUCCCUGUCUCUUAUAC
rnacentral:rRNA from 1 species